AGGAAUAUUGGUCAAUGGGCGAGAGCCUGAACCAGCCAAGUAGCGUGAAGGAUGACUGCCCUAUGGGUUGUAAACUUCUUUUAUAAAGGAAUAAAGUCGGGUAUGGAUACCCGUUUGCAUGUACUUUAUGAAUAAGGAUCGGCUAACUCCGUGCCAGCAGCCGCGGUAAUACAGAGGAUCCGAGCGUUAUCCGGAUUUAUUGGGUUUAAAGGGAGCGUAGAUGGAUGUUUAAGUCAGUUGUGAAAGUUUGCGGCUCAACCGUAAAAUUGCAGUUGAUACUGGAUAUCUUGAGUGCAGUUGAGGCAGGCGGAAUUCGUGGUGUAGCGGUGAAAUGCUUAGAUAUCACGAAGAACUCCGAUUGCGAAGGCAGCCUGCUAAGCUGCAACUGACAUUGAGGCUCGAAAGUGUGGGUAUCAAACAGGAUUAGAUACCCUGGUAGUCCACACGGUAAACGAUGAAUACUCGCUGUUUGCGAUAUACUGCAAGCGGCCAAGCGAAAGCGUUAAGUAUUCCACCUGGGGAGUACGCCGGCAACGGUGAAACUCAAAGGAAUUGACGGGGGCCCGCACAAGCGGAGGAACAUGUGGUUUAAUUCGAUGAUACGCGAGGAACCUUACCCGGGCUUAAAUUGCAGAUGAAUUACGGUGAAAGCCGUAAGCCGCAAGGCAUCUGUGAAGGUGCUGCAUGGUUGUCGUCAGCUCGUGCCGUGAGGUGUCGGCUUAAGUGCCAUAACGAGCGCAACCCUUGUUGUCAGUUACUAACAGGUUCCGCUGAGGACUCUGACAAGACUGCCAUCGUAAGAUGUGAGGAAGGUGGGGAUGACGUCAAAUCAGCACGGCCCUUACGUCCGGGGCUACACACGUGUUACAAUGGGGGGUACAGAGGGCCGCUACCACGCGAGUGGAUGCCAAUCCCCAAAACCUCUCUCAGUUCGGACUGGAGUCUGCAACCCGACUCCACGAAGCUGGAUUCGCUAGUAAUCGCGCAUCAGCCACGGCGCGGUGAAUACGUUCCCG
rnacentral:rRNA from 1 species